rnacentral:rRNA from 1 species
UACGUAGGGGGCAAGCGUUGUCCGGAUUUAUUGGGCGUAAAGAGCGUGUAGGCGGCCAAGUAAGUCUGCUGUGAAAACUCGAGGCUUAACCUCGAGCUGUCGGCGGAAACUAUUUGGCUAGAGUCCGGAAGAGGAGAAUGGAAUUCCCGGUGUAGCGGUGAAAUGCGCAGAUAUCGGGAAGAACACCCGUGGCGAAGGCGGUUCUCUGGGACGGUACCGACGCUGAGACGCGAAAGCGUGGGGAGCGAACAGG